rnacentral:rRNA from 1 species
AACUGUGCGAACGUUAUUCGGAAUCACUGGGCUUAAAGGGUGCGUAGGCGGUUCUAUAGGUCAGAUGUGAAAGCCCACGGCUCAACCGUGGAAUUGCGUUUGAAACCAUAGGACUUGAGUGAGAUAGAGGUAAGCGGAACUGAUGGUGGAGCGGUGAAAUGCGUUGAUAUCAUCAGGAACACCGGUGGCGAAAGCGGCUUACUGGGUCUCUACUGACGCUGAGGCACGAAAGCUAGGGGAGCGAACGGG